rnacentral:rRNA from 1 species
CAACGAAUAUUCCGCAAUGGGCGAAAGCCUGACGGAGCGACGCCGCGUGAAGGACGAAGUCCUUCGGGAUGUAAACUUCAAUAGUUCGUCAGGAAGCAAUCCUGGCUAACAUCUAGGAAAGUUGACCAGCGAACGAAAGGGGCGGCUAACUCCGUGCCAGCAGCCGCGGUAACACGGAGGCCCCGAGCGUUGUUCGGAAUCACUGGGCUUAAAGCGCGUGUAGGCGGAACGGUAAGUACCUUGUGAAAUCCCCGGCUUCAAUCCGGGAACUGCUUGGUAUACUGUCGUUCUUGAGGCAGGUAGGGGUCACUGGAACCUUAGGUGGAGCGGUGAAAUGCGUAGAUAUCUAAGGGAACGCCUGUGGCGAAAGCGGGUGACUGGGCCUGUCCUGACGCUGAGACGCGAAAGCGUAGGGAGCAAACG